rnacentral:sRNA from 1 species
GUUGCUGCAAAUUCAGCAACCGGGCUUCGCAUCCCGCAAUUCGAUACGGUGCAACAACACGCACCUGAAGCGUGUUUUUU